rnacentral:rRNA from 1 species
CGAGUGGCAAACGGGUGCGUAACACGUAUGCAACCUACCUUCAACAAGGGGAUAGCCUCGGGAAACCGGGAUUAAUACCCUAUAGACUUUUAAUAUCGCCUGAUAUAGAGAGUAAAACUACGGUGGUUGAAGAUGGGCAUGCGUCCUAUUAGCUAGUUGGUGAGGUAACGGCUCACCAAGGCGACGAUAGGUAGGGGGCGUGAGAGCGUGAUCCCCCACACGGGCACUGAGACACGGGCCCGACUCCUACGGGAGGCAGCAGUAGGGAAUAUUGGUCAAUGGAGGCAACUCUGAACCAGCCAUGCCGCGUGCAGGAAGACGGUCCUCUGGAUUGUAAACUGCUUUUAUUAGGGAAGAAAACGGUCUUUCUAGAUCAAUUGACGGUACCUAACGAAUAAGCACCGGCUAACUCCGUGCCAGCAGCCGCGGUAAUACGGAGGGUGCAAGCGUU